AACAGCUAAAUUUGCUCAUCCUGGUUUGCUUGUAGGAUGUGAAUGCAAGAACCUGCCAAGAAAACCAAUGUCCAAGAUGAUUGAUUAGUGCAGGACCUGAGAGAACCCCCUUCAAUGACAACCUGAAGCAGUUUCCAGUAUUGGAUUGAAAAGAUGGCCUUUGCUGCAUCUCCUUGAGCAAGGAAAGCCAAGAAACCUUUGCUUUGGCAGGAGAAAAUCCAGAAAGCCGGAAGGAAGAAAAGAAGCCCCCUGACUCCUCCUGAGCCCCAGACAGCCCAUGAACUGCCUUGCUGGGAAUGGUAGGACAGGCUGGACUCUGGAUUGCUCCCUCUGCAUGUGUGGAACUCCAGGAACUCCUGGUGCCGCCUGGGCCGAUGGAUUGGACGCCCCAGCCCCUCCGUUCCUGCCCAGCCACUGGGUCCGUGUCCAGUGGUGGCACUGCCAGCCCUGCAGUGGGAUGUAGCCUGGAAACUGCACAGAGCUGAGCCAAGGGAUUGAAAGGGACCAACCAAGGGAGGUGAAGAAAGAAUUAAAGUGAGGCAGCAGCCAAGCAGCAGCAAGUUGCUGUGUAAGCAGGUUUUUCCAAGUGCUGCCCAGCACAGGGAUCCGUGUGCUGGGACAGUGAUUGGCAGGAGGAAGGGGAGCCUUGGCCUCACCUGCCCAGCUCAGGUGGGUGGCACAGAAUGGGGGUGGGCUGGCAAGGCAUGAACACAUUUCUGAGUUCUGGAGUGCCUUGAAUCCUUUCCCUGUCAGGUUUCUCUCCCUCAUUUCCUGGGCUCCAUCGUCCCAGGUGUCUCUUCCUUUGUCCAAAGUCCAAUGGCAGAGGAUUGACUGACUCCCAAGGGAGGUUUGGAAUGAAAAGGGUUCUGUUCAAGUGGGGCAAGGAAUGC